GCCUCUUUAGCUUAGUUGGGAGAGCACCCGCUUCGUAAGUGGGAGGUCAUGGGCUCAAAUCCCAUAGGAGGCU
rnacentral:tRNA from 1 species